AUUGAACGCUGGCGGCAGGCCUAACACAUGCAAGUCGAACGGUAACAGGAAGAAGCUUGCUUCUUUGCUGACGAGUGGCGGACGGGUGAGUAAUGUCUGGGAAACUGCCUGAUGGAGGGGGAUAACUACUGGAAACGGUAGCUAAUACCGCAUAACGUCGCAAGACCAAAGAGGGGGACCUUCGGGCCUCUUGCCAUCGGAUGUGCCCAGAGGGGAUUAGCCAGUAGGUGGGGUAACGGCUCACCUAGGCGACGAUCCCUAGCUGGUCUGAGAGGAUGACCAGCCACACUGGAACUGCGACCCGGUCCAGACUCCUACGGGAGGCAGCCGUGGGGAAUAUUGCACAAUGGGCGCAAGCCUGAUGCAGCCAUGCCGCGUGUAUGAAGAAGGCCUUCGGGUUGUAAAGUACUUUCAGCGGGGAGGAAGGGAGUAAAGUUAAUACCUUUGCUCAUUGACGUUACCCGCAGAAGAAGCACCGGCUAACUCCGUG
rnacentral:rRNA from 1 species